rnacentral:lncRNA from 1 species
UACAUAUCGAUGUGCUUGUAUCCACGAUAUAUCAUCUAAUUCUGCAAUUUCAACUUUGCCGAUUGGUUCUCCAUAACUUUGGAAUAAAUAAGUUUCGGCCAAGUUAUAAUCAUUGAGCCCAACAUUUCUAUUUGGUCUAUUCAAUCGUGUUUCAACAUCUUCUAAAUAUCUAGAACAGAAUGUCAUGCACUCCUCUGCCAAGUAGCCUUCAGCAAUUGAUCCUUCUGGAUAACGCUUAUUGCGACAAUAAGAUUUCAAUUUACUU